rnacentral:rRNA from 1 species
UACAGAGGUCUCAAGCGUUUGUUCGGAUUUACUGGGCGUAAAGGGUGCGUAGGUGGCUUGGUAAGUUUGAUGUGAAAGCUCAGGGCUCAACCCUGAAAUGGCAUUGAAUACUACUGAGCUGGAGGUUUGGAGGGGGGACUGGAAUUCUCGGUGUAGCAGUGAAAUGCGUAGAUAUCGAGAGGAACACCAGUGGCGAAGGCGAGUCCCCUGGACAACACCUGACACUGAGGCACGAAAGCUAGGGGAGCAAACAGG